UUUAAGGAAAGUUCUAUACCCUUAAAAGAGAUUAAAGUGGACUCAGGAAAACAUGGUCCCUUUUAGGAGAAGGACACAUGUUCCAGACAGGCCAAAACUCAGAGCACCUUUACCUUCUCCAGGAGGAAAGAGGAGGUAAAGCAGAAGUCAGAAGACAGCAAGGCCAGGUCAGCACAGGCACCCAGGCCAAGCCAGGUGGGCUCCAUCGUAAGGGUAUGAGGAGUCACUGCAGGAGAACAAUAAGAAGGAGAGUUGAAGCUGGAGCUUGAAGAAUUGUACAUGGUCCACACUGUGGCCUGAAGUGCAUCGCCCACCUGAGCUUCAUCUGUUAGGUAUGUCAGGGAAGAUAAGCAGGUGAGAGUGGCCUCAUCAGAGGAACCCAGAUCCCCAGACGUCCCUGUCUGGCAAAUGCACCUCUGUGAACAAAGUCUUCAGAACCAGAUGAUAAGAAAGAAUGGCCCAAGCAGUCCACCAGGGAAAUCUGGGCCCAGUGUACAUCAAUGUAGAGCAUCAAGCACAGUGUAACAGGUGUAUGGUUGCCUAUUCCUGUUCAGAGAUAACUGCAUUCCACACACUGAAAAAUGAGGAAAUGCAGAGAAACAGAUGUAGCUGAAGAAGACAGCAGGAGUAAUAACGAGGGACAACCAAGACCUAGGAGGGCACCAUGCCAGAGACUCCUGGACCCCACGCUAGGCUCAGUGCCUGUUAUACUCUUGGGACCCAGCACUUUCCCUCUCCAUCACGUGGCAUACAUGGCAUUAUUUGUUGUUUAAAAUAUUGUCCUUAGUUUUCACCUUUCCUAGGAGACACAGGUAGACCCUGUGACACUACAGCUCCUGACACACAGUAGGUGCAUCACAAACAUCUGCUGAGUUCACACACUCUUGCCUUCUCAAACCUUCUUGUCAAGUCUUCAGCAAAAAGAAAUUGUUGAUUGAGCAAGAAUUAAGCUUCUAGAGACUUCUGGAUCCACUGAAGUUUGAGACAAGAUGAGAUUUGUUUACUGUCAUAUUCCUAGCUCAAAGCAUACUGUAGUCACUUAAUAAAUGUUUGUUGAAUAAGUGAGUGAACUGAUUCAUACAUCUUACUUAGCUUUAUGUUUUCUGAGUAAAACUGAUAAAUUUAACAAUUUACUUCUGGU
rnacentral:lncRNA from 1 species